rnacentral:rRNA from 1 species
AUUGAACGCUGGCGGCAGGCCUAACACAUGCAAGUCGAGCGGAUGAAGGGAGCUUGCUCCUGGAUUCAGCGGCGGACGGGUGAGUAAUGCCUAGGAAUCUGCCUGGUAGUGGGGGAUAACGUCCGGAAACGGGCGCUAAUACCGCAUACGUCCUGAGGGAGAAAGUGGGGGAUCUUCGGACCUCACGCUACCAGAUGAGCCUAGGUCGGAUUAGCUAGUUGGUGGGGUAAAGGCCUACCAAGGCGACGAUCCGUAACUGGUCUGAGAGGAUGAUCAGUCACACUGGAACUGAGACACGGUCCAGACUCCUACGGGAGGCAGCAGUGGGGAAAACUGGACAAUGGGCGAAAGCCUGAUCCAGCCAUGCCGCGUGUGUGAAGAAGGUCUUCGGAUUGUAAAGCACUUUAAGUUGGGAGGAAGGGCAGUAAGUUAAUACCUUGCUGUUUUGACGUUACCAACAGAAUAAGCACCGGCUAACUUCGUG